CAGGUUAAAUCUUAGGGAUGAUGUUAUUUACAAUAAUGUUUUGAUUUGUGCAAUUCAGUCUGGCCUGA
rnacentral:tRNA from 1 species